rnacentral:rRNA from 1 species
GACGACGCUGGCGGCGUGCUUAACACAUGCAAGUCGAACGAGUGGCGAACGGGUGAGUAACGCGUAUCAACCUGCCCUUCAGAGGGGGAUAACUACUGGAAACGGUAGCUAAUACAGCAUAACAGCAGAUGUGCCCAGGUGGGAUUAGCUAGUAGGUGGGGUAAGGGCUCACCUAGGCGACGAUCCCUAGCUGGGCUGAGAGGAUGACCAGCCACACUGGAACUGAGACACGGUCCAGACUCCUACGGGAGGCAGCAGUGGGGAAUAUUGCACAAUGGGCGCAAGCCUGAUGCAGCCAUGCCGCGUGUGUGAAGAAGGCCUUCGGGUUGUAAAGCACUUUCAGCGAGGAGGCGUUACUCGCAGAAGAAGCACCGGCUAACUCCGUGCCAGCAGCCGCGGUAAUAC